UAGCACAGGUGCUGCAUGGCCGUCGUCAGCUCGUGCCGUGAGGUGUUGGGUUAAGUCCCGCAACGAGCGCAACCCCCGCCGUUAGUUGCCAGCGGUUCGGCCGGGCACUCUAACGGGACUGCCCGCGAAAGCGGGAGGAAGGAGGGGACGACGUCUGGUCAGCAUGGCCCUUACGGCCUGGGCGACACACGUGCUACAAUGCCCACUACAAAGCGAUGCCACCCGGCAACGGGGAGCUAAUCGCAAAAAGGUGGGCCCAGUUCGGAUUGGGGUCUGCAACCCGACCCCAUGAAGCCGGAAUCGCUAGUAAUCGCGGAUCAGCCAUGCCGCGGUGAAUACGUUCCCGGGCCUU
rnacentral:rRNA from 1 species